UAUAAUUGAGCCACGACCUAGAGGAGAUGGAGAGACAAAUUUGACGGUGAAACUCUGCCAAAAUCUUUGAAAAAGCAGUCGUCAACCAUCUUGUGUUCGCAAGAGAAAUCAGUGCUAAAUUGGUGGUUUUAAGAGAUGAUUUGGAUCAGAUACGAACAAUAUAAGCAAAGAACUCAAGCUGGUUUGAUAGAUCUCGUUGCAAGGAAGACACAAAAACUUUCGAAUCUCAACAACAAGUUCAGCGAGCCAUAAUGAGAGGAGAUUUCUAGUUGCUAAAGAGGUAUUUAGGUAACGAGAUUGGUAGUGUUAGAAAUCUGACGUUUCCAGCUUUCUGUAGCCACCAAGAAUACUCAGUUACAAGUUUCAGAUCGCUAGCAUUUCAACUGCUUUAUUCAGAAUCUAAUUUCAACCUUAAGGCAAAUCUGAAGGUGUGAUAUGUGAAUUCUUAGUACUACUAGGCAAGUUGUAUUCGUAAAUGUUAGAUCUAUGAGACUAUUUAUUGUUUAAUGAUUGAUGCAUGAUAAUUAUAUAUGGUGAUGAUGUUGAUUAUGAUAUGGUAGUUAAUGAUAAUUAUGUGGCAUGAUAGUGAUGAGUUGUGAUGUGGUUAAGUAUAUAUUAAUUGUGUGAAGUCGAACUGAGGACCAAGACAUGGCGAUCCCGUCAAAGCUCGUAAACCGGCUGACAAGCCCAAGGUGGCAUACGACAUUUCGAGGUGAUGGCCAGCGUUAGUGUCAUGUUAUUAAUAAUGUUGGAAAUGGUUAUGAGAUGAGAAAUGUUUAUAUGAUUAAGAAAUUUGUGUAUUGAUAUGAACAAUGUGAUAUGUUUGUUGAUUGUUUUAA